UACGGGGGGGGCAAGCGUUGUUCGGAAUUACUGGGCGUAAAAGGGCUCGUAGGUGGCCAACUAAGUCAGACGUGAAAUCCCCAGGCUCAACUUGGGAACUGCGUCUGAUACUGGAUGGCUUGAAUUCGGGAGAGGGAUGCAGAAUUCCAGGUGUAGCGGUGAAAUGCGUAGAUAUCUGGAGGAAUACCGGUGGCGAAGGCGGCAUCCUGGACCGAGAUUGACACUGAUGAGCGAAAGCUAGGGGAGCAAACGGG
rnacentral:rRNA from 1 species